rnacentral:rRNA from 1 species
UGCAGUCGAGCGCCCCGCAAGGGGAGCGGCAGACGGGUGAGUAACGCGUGGGAACGUACCCUUUACUACGGAAUAACGCAGGGAAACUUGUGCUAAUACCGUAUGUGCCCUUUGGGGGAAAGAUUUAUCGGUAAAGGAUCGGCCCGCGUUGGAUUAGCUAGUUGGUGGGGUAAAGGCCUACCAAGGCGACGAUCCAUAGCUGGUCUGAGAGGAUGAUCAGCCACAUUGGGACUGAGACACGGCCCAAACUCCUACGGGAGGCAGCAGUGGGGAAUAUUGGACAAUGGGCGCAAGCCUGAUCCAGCCAUGCCGCGUGAGUGAUGAAGGCCCUAGGGUUGUAAAGCUCUUUCACCGGAGAAGAUAAUGACGGUAUCCGGAGAAGAAGCCCCGGCUAACUUCGUGCCAGCAGCCGCGGUAAUACGAAGGGGGCUAGCGUUGUUCGGAAUUACUGGGCGUAAAGCGCACGUAGGCGGAUCGAUCAGUCAGGGGUGAAAUCCCAGGGCUCAACCCUGGAACUGCCUUUGAUACUGUCGAUCUGGAGUAUGGAAGAGGUGAGUGGAAUUCCGAGUGUAGAGGUGAAAUUCGUAGAUAUUCGGAGGACACCAGUGGCGAAGGCGGCUCACUGGUCCAUUACUGACGCUGAGGUGCGAAAGCGUGGGGAGCAAACAGGAUUA